UACGUAGGGUGCGAGCGUUGUCCGGAAUUAUUGGGCGUAAAGAGCUUGUAGGCGGUUUGUCGCGUCUGCCGUGAAAAUCCGGGGCUCAACCCCGGACUUGCGGUGGGUACGGGCAGACUAGAUUGUGGUAGGGGGAGACUGGAAUUCCUGGUGUAGCGGUGAAAUGCGCAGAUAUCAGGAGGAACACCGAUGGCGAAGGCAGGUCUCUGGGCCACUACUGACGCUGAGAAGCGAAAGCGUGGGGAGCGAACAGG
rnacentral:rRNA from 1 species